CACUGUUUGCCAACACUCUGGUGCCCGAUCUUCAAUGCCAUGAGCUUUGAUGCCAUAUUGGGUUCCUAUUUUGGUGCAAACUAGAAUAGUUCAGCUGACUACUCACCAUCGUGCUCUACCAAUAUGGGCAUGAUAGGUCCAUUUCAUUAGCUUACAU
rnacentral:snoRNA from 1 species